GAGAGAGGAGACACAGAAUUCAUCCGAAGCAGGCUCCAGACUCUGAGCUGUCAGUACAGAGCCCGACACGGGGCUCAAACCCACAAAUCGUGAGAUCAUGACCUGAGCCAAAGUCAGACACUCAAUUGACUGAGCCACCCGGGUGCCCCUUUACUGACUUACUUUGAAAGACUGGGAUAGAUCCAGUGGAUCCCUGAGCCUGUAUUUUCCCUCUUAUACUCUUAUUUCUGAGGGGCCGAAAGAGAAGAGGCAAAUACAGCAUUAGACUGCUACAGUAAUAAACGUAUCAUGUUUAGGUCAGAGGAGACUUUCUGCACACUAUUCUUGGCCCUGUUUCUGACCGCUUUGGGAAUAUUGCAUUAGUUCCUAGCACUGUGUUUUAAGGAGGACAUUAAAAAGACCAUGGGUAACGAUGAUGAUGAAAAAAUUACGGGCAGACAUUAUACUAAACACUUAAAGGUUUUUUUUCACUAAAUCAUGACGAAAUCCCUUUGAGGCAGACAUGCCAAAGCUGGAAAAACUGAAGCUCAGGGAAAUGCAUGAGCCUAUGGACAGCUACUUAACAGUGGUGCUGGGAUCUGAACUCAGGACCAGCUGACUCCAAAGUCUAUGCCUUUCACACCACGAUAAUCAUUAAUUUAUCUAAGCAUUUAUUAUAUGCUAGGCAUUGUUCUAGGUGAUUUAUCUUAACAGUCCUCACUAAACACCUAGGAAGCGGGGAAUAUUUGUUACUCCGUUUCACAGGUAAGGAAAUUGAAGCUUAGACUCUUUGAGUAACCUGCCUGUAUCCACACACCUGUCCCUGGGUGCGGGUAUGAACCUAUGCCCGUCUGACUCCGGAGCUCCCGGGCUCACUGCUACCCUAUUGCUUGCAGAUGUCAGAGCAAAAUGUCGUAUCCUCUCUUGCUCACGAGAGCAGAAUUAGGAUUUGGAAGAACUUUCUAAGAAUCCGUCUGUGCCAACAAGACUAUCUCAGCUACAGGAGAGCUGGCUGGAAGUAAUGAGCGUCGCAGUCAGGGACGGUUGGCUGAACUCACCGUAUUUUCUCCCUAGAACUGACUUCCCAGCAAUCCUACUUAAGUCACAGAAUACUGCAUGUGCAAAGCCAAAUUAAAAUACAGAAGUCAUCUUCAUUUAUUUAGUCCUUGUUGGGGUCGUGUCUGUUUGAAAAUUUAAGAAGCAGAUGAUGUCUGAGAAUAUUCCUGAAGCUCAGAUUCCAAGGACCAGCGGAAUUGACCAGAAGGAACCUCAGAAAGGAAACAGGAGGGGAGAGCUGGAGAAAGCUGGACGGCAGCUGUGUUGACUGGAGGAACCUCGAGGAGCUGAGAGAAGGAAAGGAUCGCCACAGGCAAAUGCUCGCCAAUGCCACGUCCGACUCCCAGCCUUUCCCAAGUGGCCCGUUGGCUCCCGGUGCUCCACUCACAGCCCACAGAGGCCCGCAAGUGUCCGGGGGUCCCCUGGGCCACCAGCCCCCCAGGGAAGAGGAGGGUCACGUGCUGAGGGCUCAGGGAUCGAGGCUCCCCUGCAGGUGUGGCCCGGCCCACGGCAGCCGGGUCCUGGUCACCCACAGCCUCGGCGCAUCUGCAAGUGUUUUCUGUCUUCACAGUCGUUUUCACUGAUCUCUUCUUGGUUUAGUUGCUGUCAUUUAAUUGCCGCUACGGUCGUCCUUAUUCAAGUAGAUAUAAUUUUGGGAUAGUGUUUUUCAAAUAAAGAUUCAUUUGAUAUAA